CUCCAACCACAGGCACAGGAUCCAUUACAACUGAGGGGAAGACACUAAACCACCUAGGUUCUACAGUCAAAUUUAAAGUCUCACCUGCAUACAAGCCAGUCUAACAAACAAUUCAUAAAAAACCAUUGUGGGUGACAUGUCUCUCUGUCUCUUCCCAAAACUAUGCAUAUGCCUCCAACCACACCUAUGUGAGCUCACUUAAAGGGCUAGUUCACAUAUUUUAGACCCAGAUCCAUUGAGUUUUUCACCGCAAAUUAUGUAAUAAAUCGGGCUCAAGCCCUCCGAAAUUGAGUACACGUAAAAAAUGUGAACUAUCCCUUUAAGGCUUAAAUUAACUCAACAAAAGACAUAGAUGUCUUAAGAUCUUAUCAUACUGAAGUUUCAAUAUGAGAACAGAAUCUGAAUUAAAUCUGAAAACGGAUUACACCAGACACAUUGAAUCUGAGAGCAGACUACAUCAGACACAUUGAAUCUGAGAGCAGACUACAUCAGACACAUUGAAUCUGAGAACAGGCUACAUCAGACACAUUGAAUCUGACAACAGGCUACAUCAGACUCAGUAACCAUAUGUUCUCUCUCACACAGGAUGGAGCACUGAGACAGUGGUCAGGGUGGUGAUUGUAGUGCUGGCCACCCUGGGAAUGCUAAAGGUUCUUAUGUGGUACUGCAGGAGACGCCCAGCAAGUGAGCUUGACAACCAAGAGUCAGCACAGCCUGAGGAGUGAUCAUAUCAGCAAAGCCCUAGAGGACCAAUGCAAUGGAGAGCUUCCCUCAUAUGUACAGCUCCCAUUGAUGUGUAUAAAUACGUCUUUAAGCUGUGCAGAAUUUAGCCUUCAAAAAGGAAGAGAACAGAUAGGAACGUUUUUCAAUUUUAAUAAAACAUAAAGAGCAUAUUGUAAAAUGCAAAAUAUUUUCAUUUUAAAGAACCAUUAUUAGUGCUGGUCAAAUAUAUAACAGACACAACCAACUCCCAUUUCACCUAUCAUUAACAAAAGGGCUUCAGCCUACAGCUGACUGGCUGAUCAACAGGAACCAUCAGAACUGUCAUCUCUCCUGAUUGAUGUGUGUUGCUAUACCAACGCAGAAAGUAUUUAUGAGUGAUCAAAACAUCCUUUUCUGUCUUCCCACUCAAGGAUUCUCUGAUUAUGUUGUUAAUUUUCUAAAACUUUUUUUUUUACUUCUUCACACGGAUCUCACAGAUCUUUAUUGUUAAGUAUUCCAUUUUGCUGGAUUUAGCUAAAUCUGUGGUGACUGGUGGUCAAAAAUGUUUGUAUUCACGCUCCAAAUACCAUAGUUCAAAUCUAGCUGAAGAUACUUCUAGGAGCACGUUGCGUGCAUAUUUUUCUUAAAAGAUUAAUCCAGCGGUAGUGUACUUUGGAGAACGAUAGAGACACACCGUAAUAUUGACCCACAUAUCAAACCUAAUUUGAAUGGUGCUUUUUGGAGUUUUGGUCAAGUUCAAGUUCCUUUGCGUGUGUCAUCACAUGUGAACACUUGGCAGGACUGUUGCACCCAACAGCAUUUAGCCUAUAAAAGAGCAAUUACAGAAUCCAAACCCAGUGAAAUGAUGUUGCCACAAAAACUCCAUCAUUUAAAGGAUUAACACUUUAAUUGCUGUAUAUUACUUACAUCUCCAGUUCUUGAAAAAUGACAGAAAAUGUUUGUUUUAAAAGGUUAUUUUAUAGUGUUUUCGGUUCAAAUGCUAUUGCAUUCUUUAAUAAUUAUUAUGCUUGGGAUGUGCACAAUACCUAGUUGUUUAUCGCUAAUUUAUUCAUGAUGCUUUUGUGAGUUAAUUUUAUCUUAGUUAUAAAUAGCUCAGCAUACAAAUAUCACUGUCAAAAUAAAAAUGUGUUGAUUUGUUGAUUUA